GACGAACGCUGGCGGCGUGCUUAACACAUGCAAGUCGAACGGAAAGGCCCUGCUUUUGUGGGGUGCUCGAGUGGCGAACGGGUGAGUAACACGUGAGUAACCUGCCCUUGACUUUGGGAUAACUUCAGGAAACUGGGGCUAAUACCGGAUAGGAGCUCCUGCUUCAUGGUGGGGGUUGGAAAGUUUCGGCGGUUGGGGAUGGACUCGCGGCUUAUCAGCUUGUUGGUGGGGUAGUGGCUUACCAAGGCUUUGACGGGUAGCCGGCCUGAGAGGGUGACCGGCCACAUUGGGACUGAGAUACGGCCCAGACUCCAACGGGAGGCAGCAGUGGGGAAUAGAGCACAAUGGGCGGAAGCCUGAUGCAGCAACGCCGCGUGCGGGAUGACGGCCUUCGGGUUGUAAACCGCAUUCGCCUGUGACGAAGCGUGAGUGACGGUAAUGGGUAAAGAAGCACCGGCUAACUACGUG
rnacentral:rRNA from 1 species